rnacentral:rRNA from 1 species
AGAGUUUGAUCAUGGCUCAGAUUGAACGCUGGCGGCAGGCCUAACACAUGCAAGUCGAACGGUAACAGGAAGCAGCUUGCUGUUUCGCUGACGAGUGGCGGACGGGUGAGUAAUGUCUGGGAAACUGCCUGAUGGAGGGGGAUAACUACUGGAAACGGUAGCUAAUACCGCAUAACGUCGCAAGACCAAAGAGGGGGACCUUCGGGCCUCUUGCCAUCGGAUGUGCCCAGAUGGGAUUAGCUUGUUGGUGGGGUAACGGCUCACCAAGGCGACGAUCCCUAGCUGGUCUGAGAGGAUGACCAGCCACACUGGAACUGAGACACGGUCCAGACUCCUACGGGAGGCAGCAGUGGGGAAUAUUGCACAAUGGGCGCAAGCCUGAUGCAGCCAUGCCGCGUGUAUGAAGAAGGCCUUCGGGUUGUAAAGUACUUUCAGCGGGGAGGAAGGGAGUAAAGUUAAUACCUUUGCUCAUUGACGUUACCCGCAGAAGAAGCACCGGCUAACUCCGUGCCAGCAGCCGCGGUAAUACGGAGGGUGCAAGCGUUAAUCGGAAUUACUGGGCGUAAAGCGCACGCAGGCGGUUUGUUAAGUCAGAUGUGAAAUCCCCGGGCUCAACCUGGGAACUGCAUCUGAUACUGGCAAGCUUGAGUCUCGUAGAGGGGGGUAGAAUUCCAGGUGUAGCGGUGAAAUGCGUAGAGAUCUGGAGGAAUACCGGUGGCGAAGGCGGCCCCCUGGACGAAGACUGACGCUCAGGUGCGAAAGCGUGGGGAGCAAACAGGAUUAGAUACCCUGGUAGUCCACGCCGUAAACGAUGUCGACUUGGAGGUUGUGCCCUUGAGGCGUGGCUUCCGGAGCUAACGCGUUAAGUCGACCGCCUGGGGAGUACGGCCGCAAGGUUAAAACUCAAAUGAAUUGACGGGGGCCCGCACAAGCGGUGGAGCAUGUGGUUUAAUUCGAUGCAACGCGAAGAACCUUACCUGGUCUUGACAUCCACAGAACUUUCCAGAGAUGGAUUGGUGCCUUCGGGAACUGUGAGACAGGUGCUGCAUGGCUGUCGUCAGCUCGUGUUGUGAAAUGUUGGGUUAAGUCCCGCAACGAGCGCAACCCUUAUCCUUUGUUGCCAGCGGUCCGGCCGGGAACUCAAAGGAGACUGCCAGUGAUAAAACUGGAGGAAGGUGGGGAUGACGUCAAGUCAUCAUGGCCCUUACGACCAGGGCUACACACGUGCUACAAUGGCGCAUACAAAGAGAAGCGACCUCGCGAGAGCAAGCGGACCUCAUAAAGUGCGUCGUAGUCCGGAUUGGAGUCUGCAACUCGACUCCAUGAAGUCGGAAUCGCUAGUAAUCGUGGAUCAGAAUGCCACGGUGAAUACGUUCCCGGGCCUUGUACACACCGCCCGUCACACCAUGGGAGUGGGUUGCAAAAGAAGUAGGUAGCUUAACCUUCGGGAGGGCGCUUACCACUUUGUGAUUCAUGACUGGGGUGAAGUCGUAACAAGGUAACCGUAGGGGAACCUGCGGUUGGAUCACCU